UCAGAUACAUUAAUCAUCCAUUGCAUGCACUCUGGAGACAGCACCACGCUUUGUUCUUUCAUCCGUAAGAGAUUUUUCUUGCUUUCCAAAUUUACCAAUGCCAACACUGGCAAGCAGCUCCUCUGGAAAUCGUUUGUAUUUUUAAAGCCCCAAUAGCUGUCUGAAUUGGACUGAAGGCCUGUCUUACAAAGCUGCUCUCUCAACUUUUAUUCCCUGCAAUUUUAUUGAAAUUCAAGAGUUCAAAAUGUAGCAAUGAGGAACAAGCAAAGAGCAACAAGCCAGGUUUCACACAGGUCCGGAAACCAGCAACAACCCCAGAGAGAGGAUGCUUGCCUGUCCUUUAGGCCAUACGCAGUGUACCACUGCACUGACUGCAAAGAAAAAGGGAAAUGGAAAUCAGGGCAUCAACAUGAGGUGCUUGGACCAGCUCCACUGCUGCCUGCAUGAAGCCACUGCGAUGGCUGAACAAGCAACAGGCUGAGAAGCCAGCUAUGCUAGGGCUGACAUUCCCUCCCCCUGCCCUUGCCCUCUAAAGUGAAACAAGAAAAAGGCUCUGCUUCAGUUUGUGCUCUUAAUUCCUCAAGACACGUUUAUGGAAAGCCCAUGCAGCUCUGACACUGGUUUUAAGCACCCCCCUAUACAUGGUUUUGGAUUUUUUUAU